CCUACGGGAGGCAGCAGUGAGGAAUAUUGGUCAAUGGACGAGAGUCUGAACCAGCCAAGUAGCGUGAAGGAUGACUGCCCUAUGGGUUGUAAACUUCUUUUAUAUGGGAAUAAAAUGUUCCACGUGUGGGAUUUUGUAUGUACCAUAUGAAUAAGGAUCGGCUAACUCCGUGCCAGCAGCCGCGGUAAUACGGAGGGUCCGAGCGUUAUCCGGAUUUAUUGGGUUUAAAGGGAGCGUAGGUGGAUUGUUAAGUCAGUUGUGAAAGUUUGCGGCUCAACCGUAAAAUUGCAGUUGAAACUGGCAGUCUUGAGUGCGGGAGAGGUGGGCGGAAUUCGUGGUGUAGCGGUGAAAUGCUUAGAUAUCACGAAGAACUCCGAUUGCGAAGGCAGCUCACUGGACUGCAACUGACACUGAGGCUCGAAAGUGUGGGGAUCAAACAGGAUUAGAUACCCCAGUAGUC
rnacentral:rRNA from 1 species